GAUGAACGCUAGCGGGAGGCCUAACACAUGCAAGUCGAACGGGAUCCCCGAGCAAUCGGGGUGAGAGUGGCGCACGGGUGAGUAACGCGUAUGCAACCUACCUUUAACAGAGGGAUAGCCCAUAGAAAUGUGGAUUAAUACCUCAUAGUUCUUUUGGCCCGCAUGGGUUGAAAGAUAAAGCCACCAGGCGGUUAAAGAUGGGCAUGCGUGACAUUAGCUAGUUGGUAAGGUAACGGCUUACCAAGGCUACGAUGUCUAGGGGUUCUGAGAGGAUGAUCCCUCACACUGGUACUGAGACACGGACCAGACUCCUACGGGAGGCAGCAGUGAGGAAUAUUGGUCAAUGGGCGCAAGCCUGAACCAGCCAUCCCGCGUGCAGGAUGACGGCCCUAUGGGUUGUAAACUGCUUUUGUACACCAAGAAAACUCGCGACGUGUCGCGAUCUGACGGUAGUGUAUGAAUAAGCAUCGGCUAACUCCGUGCCAGCAGCCGCGGUAAUACGGAGGAUGCAAGCGUUAUCCGGAUUCAUUGGGUUUAAAGGGUGCGUAGGCGGCUUUUUAAGUCAGUGGUGAAAUCCUGCCGCUUAACGGUAGAAUUGCCAUUGAUACUGAAGAGCUUGAGUCCAGUUGAGGUAAGCGGAAUGUGUAGUGUAGCGGUGAAAUGCUUAGAUAUUACACAGAACACCAAUUGCGAAGGCAGCUUACUAAACUGGCACUGACGCUGAUGCACGAAAGCGUGGGGAGCG
rnacentral:rRNA from 1 species